rnacentral:snoRNA from 1 species
UCCUGCUGGUGUGUUCAAAAGACAGUGCGAUAGAAAUUCAGUAUCUGGCAUCGUUGGUUUUCUUGGCUUUGUGCAUGUUAAACCUGGUAUUUCUAUUGAUACAGUA